rnacentral:rRNA from 1 species
AUGCAUGAUCAGGUCGGCAUCGACUUGGACGGCUUCCCACUCGACCACGAGUUCCCGGACGACUACGGGCUAGAGGAAGAGGACGAGUGCGACAUCAAAGUGGAGCCCUUGUUCGAGGACGAGCUCGCCAACCAAGUCGCCGGUCCUAAGACGAAGCGCAAGAGCAAGCGCACGAAGGCAUACACGGAGGCCGAGGACAAGCUUUUUUGCGAGUGUUGGCGAGACAUUGGACAAGACCCCAAGACGGGCGCCGAACAAAAGCAUUCAACCUUUUGGAUGCGUGUCCACCGAGAGUUUCAUGAGCGCAAGAAGUUUCCGCCUUACCAACUUGUGAGCACGCGCGGUGGGUGUCCAUUUCCAAGCGAUGGAGGGUGA